CCUACGGGAGGCAGCAGUAGGGGAAUAUUGGACAAUGGGCGAAAGCCUGAUCCAGCCAUGCCGCGUGAUAGAUGAAGGCCCUCUGGGUUGUAAAUAUCUUUUUAUCUGGGAAGAAACAAUCUUAUUCUUAAGAUCUUGACGGUACCAGAGGAAUAAGCACCGGCUAACUCCGUGCCAGCAGCCGCGGUAAUACGGAGGGUGCAAGCGUUAUCCGGAUUCACUGGGUUUAAAGGGUGCGUAGGUGGGUUGGUAAGUCAGUGGUGAAAUCUCCGAGCUUAACUUGGAAACCGCCAUUGAUACUAUCAGUCUUGAAUAUUGUGGAGGUUAGCGGAAUAUGUCAUGUAGCGGUGAAAUGCUUAGAUAUGACAUAGAACACCAAUUGCGAAGGCAGCUGGCUACGCAUAUAUUGACACUGAGGCACGAAAGCGUGGGGAUCAAACAGGAUUAGAUACCCUGGUAGUCCACGCCCUAAACUAUGGAUACUCGACAUUUGCGAUACACUGUAAGUGUCUGAGCGAAAGCAUUAAGUAUCCCACCUGGGAAGUACGAUCGCAAGAUUGAAACUCAAAGGAAUUGACGG
rnacentral:rRNA from 1 species